CUCUCUUUGUACAAAACAGCGUUCUACUUGCGGGCCCAUCAGGGAAGGCUUAAAAUCAUUUCAAGGUGGAAGAUAAUUUGAAAUUUCUUCAACGGAACCCAGCACCUGAAUAUGGCUGAGUAUAUUUGAUUUAAUAUCGAUACUGCUUAGUGUUCUUUGUUACUUCAGCUUUUGUACGUUCUAAAUAUCUGCUGUCAUUAAUUGCCACAGAAGUUAAACCCUACCCAAUGGAAUGACGUUAACCAUUGACUUUGGUGCAGAGUUAAGAACUGGAUAAUAUAAAAGCUAAAAUAAUGGCCGUCAUUCCCACAUGUUACAGUAGAAGAUACUCUACAACUGUACAAGGUUAAAAAGGUAACAUGUAGUUUGUCCCAAGGUGUCUGCCUCCUCACCCAGAGCAAGACCUCCACCUCCUCACCCAGAGCCAGACCUCCACCUCCUGUCAGAAGUCCUCCAGAACAGCUGAAAGGCGAGGCUGGGGACCGGAGGCUUGUGGUGCCAGGGUGGACCGGAGACUGAGGCUGGAGACCAGGGGCCUGCAGCACCGGACCAGAGGGUAACCAUCACCAAGCUCAUCUGAAACACUAAAAUCCACGGUAGUUUAGGUCUGGUUUUGAUCAUCUUAUGACUUUAAAUCUGUGCCAAGCUGUGAGUAAGUGAAGGAGCUAAUGGAGUAGUCGUGCUGAAGGAGGUGAUGGAGGAGCCGUGCUGAUGGAGGAGCCGUGCUGAAGGCCCAGGGCUGGUGGAGGAGCUGGUGGAGGGCCUGCCUGGUGAAUGACGUCCGUCGUGGGGUAGAUGGAGCUUGACUCUGAAGUGAUCAUCACACUCACUGCCACUUCUCGUAGAAUACUGCUAUAUACCAGACGACUGCAUCUGUUUUACCACAUGUUGAAGCAAGACUUCUGCAUUUUGUUCCAGACCAGGACUCUGUCUGAGGAGAGCUGCUGGAGGAGCUGAGACGCUGGAGGACGACUAGGAAUCGACCAACAAGGAUUCCUCAUAAUUUGCAUUAUCUGGACAUAGUGGACUAGACACACCUGAGCUGAACCUCACCUGAUCCUGUUUGGUCGGGGGUAGACACACCUGAGCUAAACCCGCCCUGAUCCUGACAUCCUGCUGGUCCCGUCUCCUCAGUUCAUCUGAGCCUCGUCCUCCAGAAGACCUGCUGAGCUCAGCAGUCUGAGGCUGAUGGAUCAAUGACUUCCAGUGGGAGUGAUCUUCUUGACCCCACGUGUAACCGUGUGCUUCCACACGCCUUUCCUUCACGUCACUAACCUCACUACUUCACUACUCUCUACUGCUUCCUCUUUUCUUCCUUCUCUGUGGUUCAAACCUUUACACUAAAGGUGCGUCUUCCUGCCCUCAGAGGGUUUAGUGUUAGGGUUUAGAGUCAGGGACAGAGCUGGUCAGGGAGGACUGCUUUUACACAAACCUCUUCACUUGCUUUCGGAAUGGUGGUGACAUUUUGAAAAGAUUCAUUUGGGAAAAUGUUUUCCUCUGCUUUCCUUUACAAAAUUGUAUUAAACUUCUGUCAAGUGUUUUUGUUUAUAUAUUAAAAUCCCACAUUGACUUCGACAUGUUUGGUGCGGUUCAUUUAAUUGUCCUUUUAACUUGGUUAAUGUCAAGCUAAACUCCUGCAAUA
ensembl:lncRNA